CACCAGCCCCUCGAGUGGUGGGGACUAUUAUUUGGCCUAAAGCGUCCGUAGCUGGCUGAAGCCGUCACCCGUUAAAUCCAGUGCCUCAAACAUUGGACUGCGGGUGAUACCCUUCAGCUUGAGGGUGGGAUAGGUAAGCGGUAUUUCCGGGGUAGGGGCGAAAUCCUUUGAUCCCGGGAGGACCACCAGUGGCGAAGGCUGCUUACUAGAACACGCCUGACGGUCAGGGACGAAAGCUGGGGUAGCGAACCGGAUUAGAUACCCGGGUAGUCCCAGCUGUAAACGAUGCACGCUAGGUGUUGGGUCGGCCACGCGCCGCCCCAGUGCCGCAGGGAAGCCGUUAAGCGUGCCGCCUGGGGAGUACGGCCGCAAGGCUGAAACUUAAAGGAAUUGGCGGGGGAGCACCACCAGGCGUGAAGCUUGCGGUUUAAUUGGAUUCAACGCCGGA
rnacentral:rRNA from 1 species